rnacentral:rRNA from 1 species
ACGGGGUGCAGCAGGCGCGAAACCUCCACAAUGCGCGAAAGCGUGAUGGGGUUAUCCCGAGUGCCGUCCGAUGAGGAUGGCUUUUCAUCGGUGUAAGGAUCCGAUGGAAUAAAGGGGGGGCAAGACUGGUGUCAGCCGCCGCGGUAAUACCAGCCCCCUGAGUGGUAAGGACGAUUAUUUGGCCUAAAGCGUUCGUAGCCGGCUUAUCAAGUCUUUUGUUAAAUCCAACGAUUCAAUCGUUGGGCCGCAAAAGAUACUGUUAUGCUAGAGGACGGGAGAGGUCGACGGUAUUCCAGGGGUAGGGGUGAAAUCCUAUAAUCCUUGGAGGACCACCAGUGGCGAAGGCGGUCGACUAGAACGUGCCUGAUGGUGAGGGACGAAAGCUGGGGGAGCGAACUGGAUUAGAUACCCGGGUAGUCCCAGCCGUAAACGAUGCGGGCUAGGUGUUGGGGCAGCCACGAGCUGCUCCAGUGCCGCAGAGAAGUUAUUAAGCCCGCCGCCUGGGGAGUACGGCCGCAAGGCUGAAACUUAAAGGAAUUGGCGGGGGAGCACCACAAGGGGUGAAGGCUGCGGUUUAAUUGGAGUCAACGCCGGGAACCUUACCGGGGCUGACAGCAGAGUGAAGGCCAGACUGAAGAUCUUGCCAGACAAGCUGAGAGGAGGUGCAUGGCCGUCGCCAGUUCGUGCCGUGAGGUGUCCUGUUAAGUCAGGCAACGAACGAGACCCCCGCUUUUAGUUGCCAGCGGAUUCCA